rnacentral:rRNA from 2 species
GUUGAUCCUGCCAGUAGUCAUAUGCUUGUCUCAAAGAUUAAGCCAUGCAUGUCUCAGUACAAGCCGAAUUAAGGUGAAACCGCGAAAGGCUCAUUAAAUCAGUUAUGGUUCCUUAGAUCGUACCCACAUUUACUUGGAUAACUGUGGUAAUUCUAGAGCUAAUACAUGCAAACAGAGCUCCGACCGGAGACGGAAGGAGCGCUUUUAUUAGAUCAAAACCAAUCGGCGGCGGGUUCGCUCGCUCGUCGUACACCUUGGUGAAUCUGAAUAACUUUCUGCUGAUCGCAUGGUCUCGCACCGGCGACGCAUCUUUCAAAUGUCUGCCUUAUCAACUGUCGAUGGUAGGUUCUGCGCCUACCAUGGUUGUAACGGGUAACGGGGAAUCAGGGUUCGAUUCCGGAGAGGGAGCCUGAGAAACGGCUACCACAUCCAAGGAAGGCAGCAGGCGCGCAAAUUACCCACUCCCGGCACGGGGAGGUAGUGACGAAAAAUAACGAUACGGGACUCAUCCGAGGCCCCGUAAUCGGAAUGAGUACACUCUAAAUCCUUUAACGAGGAUCAAUUGGAGGGCAAGUCUGGUGCCAGCAGCCGCGGUAAUUCCAGCUCCAAUAGCGUAUAUUAAAGUUG